CCUACGGGGUGCAGCAGUGAGGAAUAUUGGUCAAUGGCCGGAAGGCUGAACCAGCCAUGCCGCGUGAAGGUCAGUGCCCUAUGGGCGUUAAACUUCUUUUGUGCGGGAGCAAUAAUGGUCACGUGUGGCCAGACGAGAGUACCGUACGAAUAAGCAUCGGCUAACUCCGUGCCAGCAGCCGCGGUAAGACGGGGGAUGCAAGCGUUAUCCGGAUUUAUUGGGGUUAAAGGGUGCGUAGGCUGUGAGGUAAGUCAGCGGUGAAAUGCCCCCGCUCAACGGGGUGAAGUGCCAUUGAUACUGCCUUGCUGGAAUGCGGAUGCCGUGGGAGGAAUGUGUGGUGUAGCGGUGAAAUGCAUAGAUAUCACACAGAACACCGAUUGCGAAGGCAUCUCACGAAUCCGCGAUUGACGCUGAUGCACGAAAGCGUGGGUAUCAAACAGGAUUAGAUACCCCAGUAGUC
rnacentral:rRNA from 1 species